GCGGAACUGGCGGAAUUGGUAGACGCGCUAGAUUCAGGUUCUAGUGUCCGAAAGGACUUCGGGGUUCAAGUCCCCGGUUCCGCA
rnacentral:tRNA from 2 species